ACCGUGCAAAGGUAGCAUAAUCAUUUGCCUAUUAAUUGUAGGCUGGUAUGAACGGAUAAACGAGAACCAGACUGUCUCCUCUAGAACCAUAAAAAUUUAUAUCCGAGUGAAGAAGCUCAGAUAAUCUCGCAGGACAAGAAGACCCUAUAGAGCUUUACCAUAAAUCUUAUCAUAUAAGCUAACUGGUUCGGUUGGGGCGACCAAGGAAUUUACAUCAUCCUAAAACUUUAAGAUUUACUAAUCACUAAAAAGAUCCUUUACAAAGAUCAUCGAAUCAAGCUACCUUAGGGAUAACAGGCUAAUUCCUCUAGAGAGCCCUUAUUGACAGAGGAGG
rnacentral:rRNA from 1 species